GUAGGUGGCAAGCGUUGUCCGGAAUUAUUGGGGCGUAAAGCGCGCGCAGGCGGUUCUUUAAGUCUGAUGUGAAAGCCCACGGGCUCAACCGUGGAGGGUCAUUGGAAACUGGAGAACUUGAGUACAGAAGAGGAAAGCGGAAUUCCACGUGUAGCGGUGAAAUGCGUAGAGAUGUGGAGGAACACCAGUGGCGAAGGCGGCUUUCUGGUCUGUAACUGACGCUGAGGCGCGAAAGCGUGGGGAGCAAACAGGAUUAGAUACCCUGGUAGUCCACGCCGUAAACGAUGAGUGCUAAGUGUUAGGGGGUUUCCGCCCCUUAGUGCUGCAGCUAACGCAUUAAGCUCUCCGCCUGGGGAGUACGGCCGCAAAGGCUG
rnacentral:rRNA from 1 species